ACGACUUUCCACGUGGUAAAGCAGGAGAGAUACCAACAUAUUUAUAUAUAUAUAUAUAUAUAUAUAUAGAUAGAUUGAUUAUCUGUAACUUAAUUCUGCCAUGUUUCACUCUCAGAUUUAUGUAUUUUCUUUAUGCUUUAAUUCAAUGUUUUUUGUUCUUUCUUUUUGUAAGUAAACAAUUUUGUGGUUGUCUCUCCUUUCUAUUGUAUUCUUUUUCAUUUGUUUGUUGUAAGAUUAAUAUUUUAAAAUGUUCAUGUAAUCUACGUUUGGAAACUCAAACAUAUGAGGUUUGACAAAAGAAAAAAGGAAACCCAAACAUCAUCGGACAGGAACUUUUGGGCGAGUUUUUUUUGCUUCAAAAUCGAAAAGAUCCAAGACUGGAUGUGUAUCGGUUCUAGUGGUGGUAUACCAAUGGGCGUCUCGAGUCAUCUUCUCAUUCUGUCUUUUUUAGUUUUGAAACACCAUUCUGUCUUCUUUACAAUGGAAUUUUUUGUAAUUAGUUAAUAGUUUGACCAACUUUCAAGAGGGAGAUAAAGAGAGAAGAGCCUUCCACUA